rnacentral:rRNA from 1 species
UACGUAGGGUGCACGCGUUGUCCGGAAUUAUUGGGCGUAAAGAGCUCGUAGGCGGUCUGUUGCGUCGGCUGUGAAAACCCGGGGCUCAACCCCGGGCCUGCAGCCGAUACGGGCAGACUAGAGUUCGGCAGGGGAGACUGGAAUUCCUGGUGUAGCGGUGAAAUGCGCAGAUAUCAGGAGGAACACCGGUGGCGAAGGCGGGUCUCUGGGCCGAUACUGACGCUGAGGAGCGAAAGCGUGGGGAGCGAACAGG